GACGAACGCUGGCGGCGUGCUUAACACAUGCAAGUCGAACGGAAAGGCCCUGCUUUUGUGGGGUGCUCGAGUGGCGAACGGGUGAGUAACACGUGAGUAACCUGCCCUUGACUUUGGGAUAACUUCAGGAAACUGGGGCUAAUACCGGAUAGGAGCUCCUGCUGCAUGGUGGGGGUUGGAAAGUUUCGGCGGUUGGGGAUGGACGCGCGGCUUAUCAGCUUGUUGGUGGGGUAGUGGCUUACCAAGGCUUUGACGGGUAGCCGGCCUGGGAGGGUGACCGGCCACAUUGGGCCUGAGAUACGGCCCAGACUCCUACGGGAGGCAGCAGUGGGGAAUAUUGCACAAUGGGCGGAAGCCUGAUGCAGCAACGCCGCGUGCGGGAUGACGGCCUUCGGGUUGUAAACCGCUUUCGCCUGUGACGAAGCGUGAGUGACGGUAAUGGGUAAAGAAGCACCGGCUAACUACGUG
rnacentral:rRNA from 1 species